rnacentral:lncRNA from 1 species
AUUAUAACGCGUGUGAGUUGUAGAGUUAGUACGGGCCUGUUUGGCCUAAAUCCUGAAAAAAUAAUUUAUACAAAAUUGAUUUUGGUUUGGAAAAAUGAUUUGAGCUAAAAACUAUAGAACGUUUGGCCGAAUUUAGAUAAAAAUAAUUUUUCUAAAGUGAUUUUGUAAAAUUAUUUGGCAAAAAUAUUUUGAUGUUAACAUAUAGUAAUAUUUUUACUAACUUUUAUUUUAAAAUAAUUAAAAAUUUGAAUUAAAAUGUAAAAUUUGUGCAAAAUUUAUAAUUUAAUAUUUAAUUUAAAAAAUAAAUUUGAAAUUAAAAAUUAAAAAUUUACAAUUUGAAUUUUAAAGUUAAGUA